AGCCAAUGGAUGCGAAUACGAUUAUGUGGAAGUUUUUGACGGUCCCACAGAUAAAUCACCUAAACUGGGAAAAUACUGUGGUCAAGUAAAGCCUUCUAUUAGAACAUCAACCGGCCAUCAGAUGAUGAUCAGAUUUGUUGCUGAUCCAACUGUAAAGAGAACGGGAUUUCGAAUAAAGUACUACGGAAAAGGUAUAGUAAGUGCUUAAUAACAAUUUGGGCGGCGGAAAAUUUUAAAAGGCUUCGAUAGCUGCAAUUUGAAAAAAUAGGUACGCUAGGCGUACACGUGUCUGCGCAAAGAAAUUGUACCGUUCCUAUGAAAAAAUUUUCAUGCACAAUUAUUGAGUAAACAUUUAUAUAAACUUCAGUAAACUUCUGGCUAUUCACCCGGCUAUUUACUUAGGGACGGACCAUUUGAUUUUUCAUGGGGGAGGGGCGCAUUUUUGAGAGUGCUCGAUUUUUUUUUGGACCUCACCGACUCCGCACGAUAUUUUUUUAUCGAAUCUUGCCGCCGCGUGCACGAUAUUUUUUUAAAUUUUACUAUAGCGUUAAUACAAUAAUAACCACGUAUGGUUAUAUUCCGGUUGAAGAAUGUAUUUGAAUAUACAGCAUAUAACCACAAAAUAGGAAAGUAUAGCAGAAGUGUAACCCACGAAAAUUUUAACGCGCUCACGCCAUCCUGGCUAGUACAGCCGGAAGUUUUUAUCAGGUUUUGAUAGGUACAAAGUGCCGGUUGUACUAGCCAGGAUGGCGUGAUUGAUGAUCGGACGAAUCGCUUGUAAAAACGCGGACAAAUACUUGCUUGAGUGAGACUUCUGGUAUACCUUCCUAUUCUAUGAUAUAACUAUCACAGCC
rnacentral:lncRNA from 1 species